rnacentral:rRNA from 1 species
AGCAUAUCAAUAAGCGGAGGAAAAGAAACUAACAAGGAUUCCCCUAGUAACUGCGAGUGAAGCGGGAAAAGCUCAAAUUUAAAAUCUGGCAGUCUUUGGCUGUCCGAAUUGUAAUCUAGAGAAGUGUUAUCCGUGCUGGACCGUGUACAAGUCUCCUGGAAUGGAGCGUCAUAGAGGGUGAGAAUCCCGUCUUUGACACGGACUGCCAGUGCUUUGUGAUGCGCUCUCAAAGAGUCGAGUUGUUUGGGAAUGCAGCUCAAAAUGGGUGGUAAAUUCCAUCUAAAGCUAAAUAUUGGCGAGAGACCGAUAGCGAACAAGUACCGUGAGGGAAAGAUGAAAAGAACUUUGGAAAGAGAGUUAAACAGUACGUGAAAUUGCUGAAAGGGAAACGCUUGAAGUCAGUCGCGUUGGCCUGGAAUCAACCUUGCUUUUGCUGGGCGUACUUCCUGGUUAAUGGGUCAGCAUCAAUUUUGACCGUUGGAAAAAGCUCGAGGAAAUGUGGCAUCUUCGGAUGUGUUAUAGUCCUUGUUCGCAUACAACGGUUGGGAUUGAGGAACUCAGCACGCCGCAAGGCCGGGUCUUUGACCACGUACGUGCUUAGGAUGCUGGCAUAAUGGCUUUAAUCGACCCGUCUUGAAACACGGACCAAGGAGUCUAACAUGCCUGCGAGUGUUUGGGUGGAAAACCCGAGCGCGUAAUGAAAGUGAAAGUUGAGAUCCCUGUCGUGGGGAGCAUCGACGCCCGGACCUGACCUUUUGUGACGGCUCCGCGGUAGAGCAUGUAUGUUGGGACCCGAAAGAUGGUGAACUAUGCCUGAAUAGGGUGAAGCCAGAGGAAACUCUGGUGGAGGCUCGUAGCGAUUCUGACGUGCAAAUCGAUCGUCAAAUUUGGGUAUAGGGGCGAAAGACUAAUCGAACCAUCUAGUAGCUGGUUCCUGC